rnacentral:rRNA from 1 species
AUUGAACGCUGGCGGCAUGCCUUACACAUGCAAGUCGAACGGUAACGGGCCUUCGGGUGCCGACGAGUGGCGAACGGGUGAGUAAUGCAUCGGAACGUACCUUCAGUGGGGAUAACGUAGCGAAAGUUACGCUAAUACCGCAUAUUCUGUGAGCAGGAAAGCAGGGGAUCGCAAGACCUUGCGCUGAUUGAGCGGCCGAUGUCAGAUUAGCUAGUUGGUGAGGUAAAGGCUCACCAAGGCGACGAUCUGUAGCGGGUCUGAGAGGAUGAUCCGCCACACUGGAACUGAGACACGGUCCAGACUCCUACGGGAGGCAGCAGUGGGGAAUUUUGGACAAUGGGGGCAACCCUGAUCCAGCCAUGCCGCGUGAGUGAAGAAGGCCUUCGGGUUGUAAAGCUCUUUCGGCCGGGAAGAAAUCGUAUGGGUUAAUACCCUGUGCGGAUGACGGUACCGGCAUAAGAAGCACCGGCUAACUACGUG